UCUUGCUAUGAAAUUUUUACGUGGGUAUGGGAAACGGGCUCUCGAAACCUGCUUUUCCCAAUUGCUAAUCCUGCUGGCAGUUUCAUUCCCCUUUUUACCCCUGCUUAGUGAUAUGCUUUUGCAAAUAGAUAUUCAUAAGUUCUUGGUUAUGUUGGGAGAAACGGAUGUUUCCUGUAAUCCAACUACAGGAUGUACUUUUGUUUAUCUUUGUUUGGGGUUUUAUACUGAAUUUUGAAUUACAUCAUUAACUUCCCCGGCAUGCUGCAUCAUUUGUCUUAUAUGAUAUUGUGCUGCAUCCUCGUAUGGAAGCUUCAAUAAUGUCUGUCAUAUUUAAGAUAGAUCUGAUUUUUACUGCUUUUGAACGACUAGAAAGCUUUUUAUUUGUUCAUGACCAGCCUAUGAAAAACUGGAUAUUGCUAUGGUCAUUCCCUUAUUUGGACCCAAAUCCGAAUCAAUAUAUUUUCUAUAGUCAUUCCCUUCUCAGCGACUAGAGAGCACUAGUGGGAACAAGGUGAAUCAAAGAGCAGUGGUGGUGACAUCAAUGCAAAGGUGAAGGCACCUGGCCGAUCUGAAAUAUAUCAUCCUGAUGCUGAAAUUUUAGGAAUUGUCCGUAGAGGGCUGAAGAUUGAGGCUUUAAUCCGGUUCAUACUUGAACAGGUAUAAUAACAAUCAUCUCUUUUGCUUUUUUAUCGGCUUAAUUAAAUUAUGUUCUGCUAUUGGUUUAAAUUAGACCUGAUCAUGGGCGGCCCGGCUCGGCCUGAAAAAGUGAGAGUUCGGGCAGAAAAUAAGUGGCCCGAAUUUAUUGGGACGGAUUUGGGAUUGACGUUUAGCACGUGGCCCGGCCCGGAAAAGAGCUUGUUCAUGAUUUGCACUUUAAAUUUAUUUUACAUUAUGUAUAAUAUGUACAAUUGUAUUUGUUUAUUUCAAUUAUUUGUAAUUUGUGUUUUAAAUUAUGUACAAUAUGUAACAAUUGUAUUUGUUUA